rnacentral:tRNA from 1 species
GAGGGUAUAGCUCAGUGGUAGAGUGCCUGCCUAGCAUGCACAAGGUUCUGGGUUCAAUCCCCAGUACCUUGA